rnacentral:rRNA from 1 species
CCUAGGGGUGGCAGCAGUGGGGAAUAUUGGACAAUGGGCGAAAGCCUGAUCCAGCCAUGCCGCGUGUGUGAAGAAGGCCUUCGGGUUGUAAAGCACUUUCAGUGGGGAAGAAAGCCUUGGGGCUAAUACCCUCGAGGAAGGACAUCACCCACAGAAGAAGCACCGGCUAACUCCGUGCCAGCAGCCGCGGUAAUACGGAGGGUGCGAGCGUUAAUCGGAAUUACUGGGCGUAAAGCGCGCGUAGGCGGUCUGAUAAGCCGGUUGUGAAAGCCCCGGGCUCAACCUGGGAACGGCAUCCGGAACUGUCAGGCUAGAGUGCAGGAGAGGAAGGUAGAAUUCCCGGUGUAGCGGUGAAAUGCGUAGAGAUCGGGAGGAAUACCAGUGGCGAAGGCGGCCUUCUGGACUGACACUGACGCUGAGGUGCGAAAGCGUGGGUAGCAAACAGGAUUAGAUACCCGUGUAGUC